rnacentral:rRNA from 1 species
UACAGAGGGUGCAAGCGUUGCUCGGAUUUACUGGGCGUAAAGCGUACGCAGACGGCCACGCAGGUCGGUGUGAAAGCCCCGGGCUCAACCCGGGAAUUGCAUUCGAAACCAUGUGGCUCGAGUGUGGGAGAGGAAAGUGGAAUUCCUGGUGUAGAGGUGAAAUUCGUAGAUAUCAGGAGGAACACCGGCGGCGAAGGCGGCUUUCUGGGUCCAGCAACUGACGUUCAGGUAC